GGGACUGUGGCACAGUGGGACAGCAUCUGCCUUGCAUGAAGAAGGUCACAGGUUCAAUCCAUACCAUUUCCA
rnacentral:tRNA from 1 species